GAUGAACGCUGGCGGCGUGCCUAAUACAUGCAAGUCGAGCGAACAGACGAGGAGCUUGCUCCUUUGACGUUAGCGGCGGACGGGUGAGUAACACGUGGGUAACCUACCUAUAAGACUGGGAUAACUUCGGGAAACCGGAGCUAAUACCGGAUAAUAUUUCAAACCGCAUGGUUCGAUAGUGAAAGAUGGCUCUGCUAUCACUUAUAGAUGGACCUGCGCCGUAUUAGCUAGUUGGUAAGGUAACGGCUUACCAAGGCAACGAUACGUAGCCGACCUGAGAGGGUGAUCGGCCACACUGGAACUGAGCCACGGUCCAGACUCCUACGGGAGGCAGCAGUAGGGAAUCUUCCGCAAUGGGCGAAAGCCUGACGGAGCAACGCCGCGUGAGUGAUGAAGGUCUUCGGAUCGUAAAACUCUGUUAUUAGGGAAGAACAAACGUGUAAGUAACUGUGCACGUCUUGACGGUACCUAAUCAGAAAGCCACGGCUAACUACGUG
rnacentral:rRNA from 1 species